rnacentral:lncRNA from 10 species
CCAUAGGUGGAAGGGACUAGCCUUGAAUCAGAUGAGGUUUUGGACUAUAGACCUUUGAGGGAACUGACGUCAUGCCAGUAUUUUCUACACUCACCCAGCAUCAGAAGAGCAUAUAUGUUGAAAGAAAAGGUCAACGUAUUCUGUCAUCCCUGGUUCCAGAAACCAUGAAUGCAAUCAACAAAACAAGAAGAAAUUCAAGUUAUUUCAAACAUAUGAGGAAAUUAUAAAAAGCAACAACAAAAGCAGCAUUAAUAACAAUAUAUGUUGUACACUGUCUUAUUCAAUACUUUAAAAAAAAAUAAAAGCCUCUUAAAAGCCCAUUAGUUGAUGAAGUUAUUUUACUGCAAAAGAGUGGUGUCCUGGAAGAACCAACACAAAAGGCUUAUUUCCUUUCAUCUGACUUGGAGUUCAACCAGUGCUAAAAACUUCUCCCUGAGGAGCAUUUCUGGAAAACAUUUACUGGCAAAUGUUUUAACAUUCCAGCUGCCUGAGGAAAUUAUUUACAGUUGGGGAAAACAAUAGACUAAGCAAAAUGAAUAAAAGGAAAAAGUGAGAAAUAAAAUGUCCAGAAGGGCUUUGAAAAGCUCCAACAUGAUUCUUCAUAAUCUAAAAGGACACCUGCAUGUGUAGGAUUGUAUGCAUUCCCCAAACAGUCGGAUUGCUUAGGAAAGACCUGAGAGGGCCUUAAGCUCUCACUUCUGUCUGACCUUGAGGCUCUGUGCAAGUAAGGGAAGCCCAUGGCAAAAUGGUAUACUGAUUGGCUGAAUGUUGAAGAUGUGUCCCAACAGCAACACAGAACUCCUUAGCAACAACUGAGAGAUUUAUUUGUUCCAGGCAAUUAAGGUAAUCUCUGUCCAAUUAUCAGCUGGCCUCUAAGCUAAUGGAGCUGAGACUUCAUUGAUAAAGAAUAUACACUCUGCAGAGUUACUUCAGGAAAGUCAGUAAACAAUAACUACCACAAUAAAUAGUGAAAACAGCCAAUCCUGAGGAAUGAUGAGAAUCUAAUUUCCAGAGUUACUACAUUAUAAUAUUUAAAUUGUCCAAGUUGCAAUAAAAAUAUAUGAGAAUUUCAAAGAAAUAUGAAUGUAUGGCUCUUACAUAGGAAAAGAAGUAAUCAGUAGAAACUGUCUCUGUGAAAACGUAGAUAUUUGGCUUACUGGAAAAAGACUUUAAAUAAGUGAUUUAAAAUACGUUCAAUGAACUGAAGGUAAAUAUGUGGUAUAUCCAUAGAAUUGAAUAUUAUGAAGACAUAAAAAAAGAUGAAGUGAGGUCCACUUUUGGCAUGACCACGUGAAGAACUCCACAGAUUUACUUUCCACGAAAACUAGUGGAAAUUAUAGAAGAACAAUAAUUUAAACUUUCUGAAAAUGGUCCUGGAGACAUGCAAAAUAUGAAGAAACAUUUGUUCAAGGAAAUCUAGUAGAGCUCAGUAAGAACAGUGAGAGUCUAUGGUGUUUGAACCAUAACCCAUUCUGUUCCUCCCCAUUCCCAAUGCAGGAAGAUGGAAACUUCACUCAGAUUGGUAGAGCUAAUGCACAAGGUUCCCCUUAUCCCCAGUUCCCAGUCAAGGAUUUAUAUUCCUAGGAGAGACACAGCAUCAGCAUUUUUCAUCCUACUACCAGCUACCUGCUGCUGAGGAUAAUAUCUGGGUAAGUGUAGCUGAGAAGCGGGCACUCUACUUUUCUACUUGAUCUCUACUCAUACAGUAGAAGCUCCAGCUUGGGUAUGGUGCUGCUGAAAAUACUGGGUCCCGAAUUGCCAUUUUCCCACCUGAUAAGACAGGGGUUCAUGUCAAGAGAAGCAAGCCUAAAGACCUAUGGCUACGGCCUAGCCCUUUCACUUAGCACUCAAAUUCUAGAUUGGGACUACUACUCAGAGAGAAGAACACCAUUACACAUCUACAUAUCUAGGAAAGUCAAUUAACUAAAAGUUGGAAAAAUACAAAGAGAUCCACAGAUAAACUAGUCAAAAUACUGAAAGCCAAAUACAUGGAGAAAAAUUUGGGAGCAACAAGGGUAAAGGGCCCAUCACUUACAAUAGAACCACAAUGAAAUAAACAGCUGGCUUUUAUUUAUUUAUUUAUUUAUUUUUUAGAGUCUCACUCUGUCGCCCAGGCUGGAGUGCAGUGGUGUGACCUUGGCUCACUGCAACCUCUGCCUCCUGGGUUCAAGCAAUUCUCCUGCCUCAGCCUCCCAAGUAGCUGGGAUUACUGGCGCCCGCCAGUACACCCAGCUAAUUUUUUUAGUAGACCCAGGGUUUCACCACGUUGACCAGGCUGGUCUCGAACUCCUGACAUCGUGAUUUGCCCACCUCGGCCUCCCAAAGUGCUGGGAUUACAGGCAUGAGGCACCGCGCCCGGCCAACAGCUGGCUUUUAAUCAGAAACAAUGGAGGGUGGAAAGUGAUGGGAUAGCAUAUUCAAAAAUGCCUAAUGAAGAAAAACAAAAUGUCAACCAAGGAUCCUAUAUCCAGCAAAGCUAUUUUUAAAAACAAAAGCAACAUAAGCACAUUCCCUGAGAGAAUUUUGCUAGCAGACCUGCCUUCCAAAAAAUACUAAAUGAAGUUCUUGAGCUGAAGGCAAGUGACCCCAGGCAAUAAUACCAAUAUAAAAAUACAAAGAAUAUCUAUAAAGAAAUUUUUAAUUAUAGAAGACAGUAUAAAUGCAUACAUUUCUCCUUUCUUGGCUGAUUUUAAAAGCAAUUGUAUAAAAAAGUGUACAAUUGUGAAAGUUGCCAUAAUCAAAAUGGAUUCAUUAAUAUUAAUGAAACCCUGACAAAUAGAGCCAGGAAAGGCCGUGAAGAGAGCGUUCUCAUGUUGGUAUAUCUGAUAACACAACUAUCACAAAAGUCUGCAGAAAGCAUUACAACUUCACACAAAAAAAUACCUCUACAGCGUCAUCUACCCAGCAACUACCUGUCUAACCUCAGACUGGCAUCAUUCUUGUUAUUAAUCUUUGUAGACAAGAAUAACUAUUUCAAAACAAUUAUGUAAUCCGUCUGAUUUUUUCCUUUAAAAGACUUUGUCUUUGUUCAUCUAAUUAAAUAUGCACAUUUUUUACUAUGGCAUGCAUAUUCCCAUUGCAAUGCUGUAUCCCCAAAUAAACAUCUUUUCUUUUAGAG